GCCCGUAAAACUGCUGGCACAAGCUCCACUCUUUCACCUGCGCCGCGCUUCUGGCCGGAGGUGCGCGUGCGGCGGGUGUGCGGACCGGAGAAUGGGCGACCACCGGGACCGAGAAAUCGCCAAAGAGAACACACCAGAAGCCAGCGGACAACGGAAAGCAGCUGAGUCUCCCAGUUAUCAAGCAGGAAUUACCCACCGGAGCAACUCACGGAAGUGCAAGGAAAGCGUAUAUUUAUCAAGGCUAUCAGCGGAAACGGGCCAAGUGCGCAUGCGUGGAGACGGACACACCAUGCCCGUGCAAGUGGACAGGAAGGGGGCUACCCGUGGGUACCACCAGUGAGGGAAGGUGUCCACCCUUGGCCACAUGGAGAAAAGCGAGUUACAGAAUCACGUGUUAAAGACCGAGGAAAAGAUUCAGAAGGCGGCACUCCCGACUGUUCCGGGUGGGACCCCAAGGUGUGGCAAUAGAAAAGCCGAGUGAAUUGCAUUUUCUGCUUUAUUCACUUUUACAGCAUUUUAUUUACCAACUGUG